rnacentral:tRNA from 1 species
GCCUGGGUGGCUCAGUCGGUUAAGCGUCCGACUUCGGUUCAGGUCAUGAUCUCGCGGGUUCGUGGGUUCAAGCCCCACAUCGGGCC